ensembl:miRNA
UUGUGAUUCUCACCUUGCACUCAGGCAUGGAGAGUGAAACGGAGAGAUGCACAAGAA